AGAACGAACGCUGGCGGCAUGCCUAACACAUGCAAGUCGAACGCUCACCGGGCUUCGGUUCGGUGGGAGUGGCGCACGGGUGAGUAGCGCGUGGGAACCUGCCCUGUUGUGGGGGAUAACCGAGGGAAACUUCGGCUAAUACCGCAUGCGCCCGGGGAAACCCGGGGAAAGAUUUAUCGCAGCAGGAGGGGCCCGCGUCGGAUUAGGUAGUUGGUAGGGUAACGGCCUACCAAGCCUUUGAUCCGUAGCUGGUCUGAGAGGAUGAUCAGCCACACUGGGACUGAGACACGGCCCAGACUCCUACGGGAGGCAGCAGUGGGGAAUAUUGGACAAUGGGCGCAAGCCUGAUCCAGCAAUGCCGCGUGAGUGAUGAAGGCCUUAGGGUUGUAAAGCUCUUUCGCUCGGGACGAUAAUGACGGUACCGAGAUAAGAAGCCCCGGCUAACUUCGUGCCAGCAGCUGC
rnacentral:rRNA from 1 species